UUUAAAGAUUAAUAAAACAGCUAGUCCUUUAAUUCUCAUAAUAGUCAAUAUCGAAGCAACAUAAACAAACAUUGGAACUAUUUCACCAUUUGAAGGGGAAAGUUACCCACCAACUGGCCUCCUUGCACCAAAAACACUGUUGGAAAAACAAACAAGCAAAUAAUAAGCAAAUAUUUACUAGGAAUUUCCGAAGAAUAAACACAGCUUAUAGUUAAAACAAGAAGGAAUAGAAUUUUUGAAAAAUCCAUCGUCUUGAAAAUUUGAAAGAUGUUUCAAUGCCAAAGUUAAAAUAACAAA